GUGCAGUCUUCCAUUUCCACCACAUUUACCAUAAGGUACAUGCUUUGAGACCUCGCAGUGCAAGACAUCAACCGUAUAGCCUGAUAGAAAAAAUUAGAAGAAUUCGGCUAUCAACUAGAUCGUUUGAAUUUAAUAUUCAGCUGAAGUGCUCAAUUAUCCGGCUGUGCCGAGAAAAAUGCAUCUCAUAAAUCUACCCACGUAUUCCGACGCUUUCUUUACUAUGGUGACGAUAUUCUCAGCGUUAGCGAGAGUGUUUAUUUGACCGUCUCUGCCCGUACGUGUUGGGUAGUAUUCGGCCACUGCACCUAUGUAGGAAGUUGCAUCUGCUGCCGAAAUCUGGGUCUACAUACCUGCAGGAAUGUGAAUCGGGUCCAAAUCGCUAGUCCGAAGAUAAUGAUCGACAAUUUGGUGGCUGCCAUGGUUGCAGGUGGCCUAAAAAUGUGUAAUCCGCUUACUGUUCCUCAUAAAUAGUAUUAGACC